UUUCCUGUUCUGGGGUUUGCCCCAAAUUCUCCAGGAUCUGUGGGAUUCCUUUAACUACAGAACGCUCUGAAAGCAGGGUGUUGGGUAAUUUUCUGAUCUUCUCCACGUGUUCCGGGCUAACUCCCAGUUCCCUGCAGCUCACUCGGAGCAACUCCUGGUAGCCCGGAAAUUUCCAGUCCGGCCCCCAGCACCGCCGAAGCCAGUCUCCCGGACCCACAGGAACUUCCAGCCACACGCCUGUCCGGAAGGAACGCCAUGCGAUGCUGGAAGAAACGUCUGGGCACACAUCACCACGAGUUUCCCUUAAUGCCGAGAACCCAACCUCCGCACUUCGGAGAACCGGGAAACACAUGAGGAUUUUGCCAGUACGUGACUGGACGCGGCAGUGACGCUGGGAGAUGGGAUUGUGGUACAAAUUCCAGGAGCCCCUAGAUGGGGAAGGACGUCUGUCUCGCAGCCAGAGCGGCUUAUCCCGCCUAUUCCGCACAGCACCUUGAACCGGUAAGUCGCCUGAACCGGAUGAGGAUUGGGAGAA